rnacentral:rRNA from 1 species
UACGUAGGGUGCGAGCGUUGUCCGGAAUUACUGGGCGUAAAGAGCUCGUAGGUGGUUUGUCGCGUUGUUCGUGAAAACUCACAGCUCAACUGUGGGCUUGCGGUCGAUACGGGCAUCACUGGAGUUCGGCAGGGGAGACUGGAAUUCCUGGUGUAGCGGUGAAAUGCGCAGAUAUCAGGAGGAACACCGGUGGCGAAGGCGGGUCUCUGGGCCGAUACUGACGCUGAGGAGCGAAAGCGUGGGGAGCGAACAGG